AACGAGAAAUUCCGGGCUUGCUCGGGAGAGUAAAGUGGCGAACGGGUGAGUAACGCGUGGGUAACCUGCCCCUGAAUCUGGAAUAACUUCGCGAAAGCGAGGCUAAUACCGGAUAUUGUCCCAGGGACCUCGGUUCUUGUGAUGAAAGAUGACCUCUUCACGAAAGUUGUCGUUCAGGGAGGGGCCCGCGUACCAUUAGCUAGUUGGUAGGGUAAUGGCCUACCAAGGCGAUGAUGGUUAGCUGGUCUGAGAGGAUGACCAGCCACACUGGCACUGAAACACGGGCCAGACUCCUACGGGAGGCAGCAGUGAGGAAUUUUGCGCAAUAGGGGAAACCCUGACGCAGCAACGCCGCGUGAGUGAAGAAGGCCCUCGGGUCGUAAAGCUCUGUCAAGUGGGAAAAAAGCUUACUGGUAAAUAGCCAGCAAGACUGAUGGUACCAUUGAAGGAAGCACCAGCUAACUCCGUGCCAGCAGCCGCGGUAAUACGGAGGGUGCAAGCGUUGUUCGGAAUUACUGGGCGUAAAGGGCGUGUAGGCGGUGUGGUAAGUCA
rnacentral:rRNA from 1 species